AAACCAGCACCUCAAGUGGUCAGCAUGAUUAUUGGGCCUAAAGCAUCCGUAGCCGGCUCUGUAAGUUUUCGGGUAAAUCUGUAUGCUCAACGUACAGGCUGCUGGGAAUACUGCAGAGCUAGGGAGUGGGAGAGGUAGACGGUACUCGGGAGGAAGUAGUAAAAUGCUUUGAUCUCUCGAUGACCACCUGUGGCGAAGGCGGUCUACCAGAACACGUCCGACGGUGAGGGAUGAAAGCUGGGGGAGCAAACCGGAUUAGAAACCCGAGUAGUCC
rnacentral:rRNA from 1 species